rnacentral:rRNA from 1 species
AACGAACGCUGGCGGCAUGCCUAACACAUGCAAGUCGAACGAGACCUUCGGGUCUAGUGGCGCACGGGUGCGUAACGCGUGGGAAUCUGCCCUUGGGUUCGGAAUAACAGUUGGAAACGACUGCUAAUACCGGAUGAUGACGUAAGUCCAAAGAUUUAUCGCCCAGGGAUGAGCCCGCGUAGGAUUAGCUAGUUGGUGGGGUAAAGGCCUACCAAGGCGACGAUCCUUAGCUGGUCUGAGAGGAUGAUCAGCCACACUGGGACUGAGACACGGCCCAGACUCCUGCGGGAGGCAGCAGUGGGGAAUAUUGGACAAUGGGCGAAAGCCUGAUCCAGCAAUGCCGCGUGAGUGAUGAAGGCCUUAGGGUUGUAAAGCUCUUUUACCCGGGAUGAUAAUGACAGUACCGGGAGAAUAAGCCCCGGCUAACUCCGUG